rnacentral:lncRNA from 1 species
CUAUCUUUUCCUCACUGAUUGCAAAGCUCCCUUUACCAUAUGGUAGAUUCCGGUGUAUCCUGAGCUGGACUCUGCACUCUCUGGUGCCUUUCCCAGCACUUUUCUCCAUGCUGUGUGGUUACUAUUGUCUUUUGAAACUUCAAAACCUAUCGGAAUGUAGGCCACUAGGUCAGGGCGUCAUGGAAACCCUUGUGUGCAGGGAGCAGCAGACAGAUGAUUCCCCAGUCCCGGAACACUCUCGGCCCUCUUCAGCCACUCCCUCCCCAACCCACACGCCAUCAACCUCCAGACCCUCUCGCCGUGGCUUAGAGGUGUCUCUGACAACGUGGCACACUGGGAAGGCCUUCUUUCCUGCUACCAAUACAAAUGCAUUCUGAAUUUGAUAUGUCAUUAAAUGUAAAAAUACAGCCAAUUUGAAACAAGCAAAUGGAAAUUCCCAGGAACCAAAAACAGAAAGAAAAAUCAGAGCUACCGCAGUGCUGUCCCUGCAGACAGAAUUUGGGAGAGGUACUCAGAGUCACCUCCUGUGAGCCUAUGCAAGCCAGCUCCUGCACAACCCUGGUUUUAGUCCAGGUAAAGGCCCGCCCAGGUGUUUGAAUAUGGACUCCUCACAUACUUCUGCAGACUCCAGCUUUGGGUUGACCCAUCGGGGAGAGGGAACUUAGCAUGAACCCUUGUAUAAAAAUGAAAAUCUCUUUCAUUGGAAGGGAAGAUCACUGACUGGGCUAGUCUCCCAAGACCUAGGAAAGAGCUUGGCUGUCAGAGGGUGAGCUAGGGAACGAACUGUGCUUGUUGAUAUCCACAUCCAAGGCUGAUGGCCGGAGGAGGCAGUUAAGAGCAAAAGGCAAUGGACCAAACUACAUCAAAGAUGGGAUUAUAACAAAACUUUAAAAGUUGGUUUACAAUGCAGAAAAUUCAUUCUUCUGGAAACAGACUUGAAAAAAAUAAAAUAUUUACUCUACCUUUCUUGUUCAGAACCAUGCCUUAGGCCUUCUGCAGAAUUCCACAUUAAACAGGAUGAAGAAUAGGUUGUUAGCAGACUGAGGUACUUGGGGCAACAUUUCGUACACAACAGGAGGGAGAAACGACUCCAGGUUGUCUUGUGGUAGAGGAGAUUUUGCCUUGCAAUUUUACAUACUUAUGCUACGUGGAAGGCUGGGUGGCGUGACUUCAGGAAAGAGACACACAGAGAGAGAGAGAAAGAGAGAAAGAGAGAACCCACCUACCUGUUUUGCAAAAGUCUCAUGAAUCAUCCCUUCCUGUGGUCCUGCUCCCUGAGAUCCUUUCACCGCUCACAGUGGGCUACUUCUAAGAGCGUGCCUGGCACAGGGUCACUGAGAGCAUAGUCUUAAUAAAACAAUGAUGGAUGCUUGUCUCUCUCACUGGGUGCCAUGCACUUUGAUCAGAAGCUUUAAGAAUGUUUUCCUCCACUGUCUAGUCACAGCCGUAUUAAAUUACACAAGGCAUGGGAAGAGGCAUAAUCUGUUGAUGAUAAAUCAGAAUUAAUGAGAGUUUAACAAGCCUGCUAAAUACUAAGUCAAUGUAAAAAAUCAAUUGUAAGCCCAUCUAUCAGAAAAACACUAUUAGCAAGCAAAAUUUACAUUUUUACUGCUUAACAUAGCAUCCCAAAUAUCAAGUACCUAGCAACAAAUCUAACGAAAGAUAUGCAAGACUUAUAGAGAAAACAGCAACAGCAACAACUUUGUUUAGAUACAUUAGCGAAGAUCUCAUUACAUGGAGACAUACACUAUGCUCAUGGACUGGAAGACUCCAUAUGGAAGAUGCCAAUUCACAUCUCAGAAUCUCAGCAGGUGUUGCAAAGAACCUGAAAAUUUGUUUUAAAAAUUCAUGUCAAAAUGCAAAGGUCCUACAAUUGCCAAAGAAAAAUAGGGAGGGAGGACCACCUGAUAUCAGCGGUGAUUAUAAAACAAUAAUAAAUGUGAUACCUUGCCUUAAGUCUGGGGAUAGACAAAUAGACGAGGGGCGCAGGUUGGAGAAUCCAGAAACUGACCCAUGAAUACAUUGACACUUGAUAUAUGACAGAAAUGGCCCCCAAAGCCAUGGGUGUCUGGGCAUAUAGUAUCCAUACAGAAAAAAUAUGAACUAUCUUCAAUAAGAGACAUAACACUAUAAAAGAAAAUCAUUUUAAGAAAAAAUUGUACAACUGAAUGUGAAAAACUAAGCUAUAAAUCUUUUAGAAGACAAUACAGGAGAACCUAUUUUUCCACCUUCAUUAUGUGGAGACCCAUCUUAAUAAAACACCAAAGGCAUUAAACAAAAUAAAUUUGACUACAUUAAAAUUAAGAAUUUUUGUUAAUUAAAAAAACACCUUUAAGAGAGUGAAAAGGCAAGGCAUAAAGAGAGAGAGAGACUGAGACUUUGCAACAAAGGACUGACAUUUGAAACAUCUAGAGAACAUCUACACAUCAAUAAGAAAAAGACUCCUUGGAAACAAAUGGGCCAAAGACUUCGGAGAUAUACUCCACAAAUGAAGAAACUCAAAGGGCCAAUAAACAGAAGAAAGGGGGCUCUGAUAUUUGCAGCAAGAAAAGAAAUGCAAAUUAAAACCACAGUAGGGCACCAUUACAUAUACAAGCUCAUUGGCAAAAACUUAAGUCUGGAAAUACCAAGCGUGGGUGAGAAAGUGGAGCAGUUGGAACUCUCUACAAAGCUUCUGAGAGUGCAAACCAGCACUGCUGCUCUGGAAGGCAGCUCAGCAUCAUCUGCCAAGGUUGAGGAAGAGAAGAAAAGCAGGAUUGGGAAGAUCGUAUCCACUUUGGCUUCAGUCUUUG